AUUGAACGCUGGCGGCAGGCCUAACACAUGCAAGUCGAACGAGUGGCGGACGGGUGAGUAAUGUCUGGGAAACUGCCUGAUGGAGGGGGAUAACUACUGGAAACGGUAGCUAAUACCGCAUACCAUCAGAUGUGCCCAGAUGGGAUUAGCUGGUUGGUGGGGUAACGGCUCACCAAGGCGACGAUCCCUAGGUGGUCUGAGAGGAUGACCAGCCAGACUGGAACUGAGCCACGUUCCAGACUCCUACGAGAGGCAGCAGUGUGGAAUAUUGCAGACUGGGCGCAAGCCUGAGGCAGCCAUGCCGCGUGUAUGAGGAAGGCCUUCGGUUUGUAAAGUACUGUCAGCGGGGAUGCGUUACCCGCCGAAGAAGCCCCCGCUCACUCCGUGCCAGCAGCCGCGGUAAUUC
rnacentral:rRNA from 1 species